CUCAGUUCGGACUGUAGGCUGCAACUCGCCUACACGAAGCUGGAAUCGCUAGUAAUCGCGGAUCAGCACGCCGCGGUGAAUACGUUCCCGGGCCUUGUACACACCGCCCGUCACACCAUGAGAGUCUGUAACACCCAAAGCCGGUGGGAUAACCUUUAUAGGAGUCAGCCGUCUAAGGUAGGACAGAUGAUUAGGGUGAAGUCGUAACAAGGUAAC
rnacentral:rRNA from 1 species